ACCAGCACUCCCUCCCUACCACCAGCCUGCUCCCCGGUCACCCCCAAACCACGGGCCGUCACCGAACGGGCUGUCACUGAGGACAACUGGCGUUCACUCUGUGUCCCUAAGGCAGAAACAGAGCUGUGUCACUGCCCACAUCGGGCCUCACUGGCUGGAGAGCUGACCAAGGUCGGGGGCUGGCUGCUGGGUGCGCGGGGUGAGGACCAGGCGUGGGCCGGACAGAGAAGACGGAGCAGCAGCUUGGAGCCCAGAGGGCGUGGUCCACCGCACGGGAUGAGAGGCUCCAGACCAGCCAGUGUCAAACAUUGAUGUUAACGGGCGUGAAGAACCAACGGGGAAGAGAGGACCCAGGACACCUCCCCAGGCACCCGUCCCAGGGCCCCUUCAGGAAGCAGCCCCAGUGGGAAGAGAGGAGGCAGACGGCUGUCUCCCAGGG